UAAUACGAAGGGGGCUAGCGUUGCUCGGAAUCACUGGGCGUAAAGCGCACGUAGGCGGCUUUCUAAGUCAGAGGUGAAAUCCUGGAGCUCAACUCCAGAACUGCCUUUGAUACUGGAGAGCUUGAGUUCGGGCGAGGUGAGUGGAACUGCGAGUGUAGAGGUGAAAUUCGUAGAUAUUCGCAAGAACACCAGUGGCGAAGGCGGCUCACUGGCCCGAUA
rnacentral:rRNA from 1 species